rfam:Leuconostoc lactis strain WIKIM21 contig00030, whole genome shotgun sequence.
UAAUAGAAACAGAAAAGGAAGCCUUGCGUGAACAAGACUUCCCACGUAGAGCCGUGUAAGACGGUAGCAUUAAUUAACGACUAAAAA